rnacentral:antisense_RNA from 1 species
GGAUCUCCGCGUUGGAGGAAGAGGGAGUCGAAAGAGGCUUCCACUGUUUGAAAAAGACCCAAUGGUGGUUGGGCUUCGGGUCACGUGACAACUUCUUUGUAGCUCCGGAAGAGGAUUGCGAAGUUUAGGUUUCGUGGAAGAAACCGAUAAUUGAGGGAAAAAAAUCAAGAUUUGGGGGAAUUACCUACAAAGAUGUAAGGUGUGUUAAUUUGGGCGCUUCUUGGAUUCUACCCUGAGGAGGAGGCGCGUGGUGAGAGGAGAGAUCUUGAUCUGCCGCUCGCUGAGGUUCAGCAGGUUGGCCAUCUCCACACGGCGAGGCCGGCACAGGUAGCGGUUAAAAUGGAACUCCUUCUCCAGCUCCACCAGCUGCGCGCUCGUGUACGCCGUCCGCGCCCGCUUGGACGCCGCCG